UACGGGGGGGGCAAGCGUUGUUCGGAAUUACUGGGCGUAAAGGGCUCGUAGGCGGCCAACUAAGUCAGACGUGAAAUCCCUCGGCUUAACCGGGGAACUGCGUCUGAUACUGGAUGGCUAGAGAUUGGGAGAGGGAUGCGGAAUUCCAGGUGUAGCGGUGAAAUGCGUAGAUAUCUGGAGGAACACCGGUGGCGAAGGCGGCAUCCUGGACCAACACUGACGCUGAGGAGCGAAAGCGUGGGGAGCGAACAGG
rnacentral:rRNA from 1 species